rnacentral:rRNA from 1 species
GAAUCUGCCAAAAGGACUGGGACAACAGCUGGAAACGGCUGCUAAUACCGGAUAUGCCAAAAAGUGAAAAGGGUAAAACCGCCUUUUGAUGAGCUCGCGUCCGAUUAGCUAGUUGGUGGGGUAAAAGCCUACCAAGGCGUCGAUCGGUAACUGGUCUGAGAGGAUGACCAGUCACACUGGGACUGAGACACGGCCCAGACUCCUACGGGAGGCAGCAGUGGGGAAUUUUCCGCAAUGGGCGAAAGCCUGACGGAGCAAUACCGCGUGAGGGAGGAAGGCUCUUGGGUUGUAAACCUCUUUUCUCAGGGAAGAACACAAUGACGGUACCUGAGGAAUCGGCAUCGGCUAACUCCGUGCCAGCAGCCGCGGUAAUACGGAGGAUGCAAGCGUUAUCCGGAAUGAUUGGGCGUAAAGCGUCCGCAGGUGGCUUUGCAAGUCUGCUGUCAAAGCUCAGGGCUUAACCCUGAAUCGGCGGUGGAAACUGAAAGGCUAGAGUGUGGUAGGGGCAGAGGGAAUUCCCAGUGUAGCGGUGAAAUGCGUAGAGAUUGGGAAGAACACCAGUGGCGAAAGCGCUCUGCUAGACCGCAACUGACACUCAUGGACGAAAGCUAGGGGAGCG